UUAAAAAUUGAAUUGCCUCACUCCUCUCUCUAAAUUCAUAUUCCUUCCAUUCUCAGCUUUCUCUUUCUAAAAAUUUCCUGGUUUUACUUUCUAAAACAGGCAAACCCAACCUCCAACCUCUCACUCUUACUACUCUUUGCUUUCACCUUUUUAUGAACUUCUUACUCUCACUCUAAACUUGAUUUCUCCAAGCUGCAUAUCUCUAAAGACUUCUUCAAAAACUGGGAUUCUAUCUUUUCCCAUUUUCUAAAAAAAAUUGCGUCAUCAUGGCCCCCUUUUCUGGAAUUCUUGGCGAGGGUUAUCUUUGAGGGAUCAAGAAUGGUUGGAGCAAAUCCUCAAUGGAGCCUCGGGACUGAGCACAUCUCGAAGAUGAAAGGAAAGGAGAAGGUAUGGGCAUUUUUCUCAUUCAUCAGGUUUUGUGUGUUCUGAUUUUUGGGUUUAUUAAGAUCACACUUGCUUUAGCCCGAAUUGAUGAACAGAAUAAUUUCUUUUAGAUUUAUAUGGAAAUUUCUUGUUAUUGAGGGUUCUUGCCCAAAGAUUUUGUUAAGAUAUGUAUUGAUCCUUGCUCUAAAAUUACCCCGUACAUGUUCCUGAGAUGUUUGAUAUAAUGUUUGUAUGGAUUUAUUUUAAUUCGAAAGUCGAAGACCAUUAUUUUGAUGGUGUUGUUGUGCUGGACAUAUCCUUGGUGCGAAUCUUGGGCGACAUUCUUUGUCCAUGCACACCUUUUUUUCCUUGAGCUCUUUCCAAUUCCUUGAUGUCAAAGGAAUAUGAAUCUGUGGACGUGAGGUGGGAUUAUCUUCGAACUUUAUUGCCUAAAACAUUCUGGAAUGAAGUUACAAUACAAGCAAGGUGUACCCAUGAGUCUCCCACAUGAUGGAGCUGAUUGCAUAGGCCACCUCUCCUUGCUUCUUCUCCAUCUCACAUUUCAUGACAUCAUCCAAGAGACGGGGCACGGACCUGCCAAGGCAAGGCAAGCGUGAUCUUGGACCAAUAUGCAGCAUUGCAGGCUCAUGAGAAACAUACUUACCCAUCAAAGUGAUUGAGCUUAAGGGGCUCACCGGGGCUCCAACACUAGUCGUCCCACCUCCAUGUAUUCUAGAAAUGCUGUGAGAAUUCAUCCAUUCUGAUUAUAGCAUCAGCCCAAAGUUCUUUAAAGAAAGGAAAGACUUUACGACUUUGGGCCUCACUCGAUUGUGACAAUGAAGUCAUUCAUUGUAAUGUAUACAAAGGUGAAGAUAAGGGAAAUGGGCUCAGGAAGCCUUUCUUACUCAGAAAUAUCUUGUCUUUCAAUAGCCUUAACGAAACGUAUAGAUCUUGGGGCAUGGAGCUUUCCAUAUCGAAAAUGUUGUCAAGGCCAGCAAGCAAGUGCAUGUUGUGGAAGUGGCAUGCCGAGAACUCUGGUUCACGGAUAUUGGUUGCCACACUAUGUAAUGUAAUUAUUUGUUUAAAUAUUUAAUGUGUGCAAUGUACCUGGGUUUGAUACUUAAAUUCUUCUCAUUUGAGAUUAUUUGUUGUAAUUUUUCAGUUUAUGAUGUCACAAGACAAGAAAAUUUGUAAAUAUGUAUAAAGUAUGGGCAAAAGAAAUUAAAUUCUACUCAACAAACCAAAA